GGAAGUAAAAGUCAUAACAAGGUUUCCGUAGGUGAACCUGCGGAAGGAUCAUUAUCGUACAAAAUGUGAGGGGCAUGCGAGGGCUGUCGCUGACCCAAAAGUCGUGCACGCCCGAGUGUGUCCUCUUGCAUAAUAAUCCAUCUCACCCUUUGUGCAUCACCGCGUGGGCACCCUUCGGGAUCAUCUCGGAGGGGGGCUCGCGUUUUAACACAAACCCCCCUUUUAAAAGUGUAGAAUGACCACAUUUAUGCAAUCAAUACAACUUUCAACAACGGAUCUCUUGGCUCUC
rnacentral:misc_RNA from 1 species